rnacentral:misc_RNA from 1 species
AUGAUUAUAGAGAUGAUAUUUGCAGCCAUUGUGGGCUGCUACGUCGUGUCGUCGUUCAUACUCUUCAAGUUCCCGAUGUUAUUACACAAGAAAAAGGAGGUGAAGUUCGUGUGUCGGCACAUUAGUCACCGGGGAGGCGCUGGAGAAAAUUAUGAAAACACAAUAUCAGCAUUCAGACAUGCAGUUGAUUUGGGAACAGACAUGCUUGAACUUGACUGUCAGCUCACUAGAGACGGACAAGUGGUGGUGUCACAUGACUCUGUCCUUGACAUUCGUACAGAGUUGAAAGGAGCAAUAUCCGAGUACAAUUAUGCUGAGCUCCCUCCAAUUAAAGAACAGAUACCCAUUGACUUCAUGCCAGGCAUAACAUUCAGCAGUAAUAAUGAAGAUCGGAGAUUUCCCUUGUUGGAGGAAACUUUUCAGCACUUCCCAAACACACCAAUUAACAUCGAUAUCAAGAUUGACAGCAAUGAAUUGAUAUCAAAAGUGAGCGAAUUAGUGAAGAAAUACCAGCGUGAGCACAUCACAGUGUGGGGAAACAUGAAGGAUGUAGUAACACGAAAAUGCUACAAGGAGAACCCAAAUGUGUGCCUGCUCUUCAGUGCUCGACGAGUGUGCCUCAUGCUGGUGCAGCUUUACACAGGGAUCUUGCCUUUUAUGCCACUCAAAGAAACCCACUUAGAAAUUUUUAUGCCAGUCCAUAUGGUUAAGAUAUAUGGAAGUCACUUUGAGUGUAAAUGGUGGCACACGUUGAUAGCCAAGAUUGCCAAUGUGUUACUCAUCAGGCGGUCGUUGUUUGAGCACCUUUCUAAGCGAGGGGUCCAGACUUAUCUCUGGGUAAUGAACACAGAGGAAGAUUUCCGCUGUGCCUUUGAAACUGGAGCCACUGGCGUUAUGACCGACUACCCCACCAAACUGAAAGCAUUCCUGGAGCAAAACCCACAGUAUUGUCACGAUCACAAACUCAGCUAAAUGCGGCUGUGGCCAAGUUAUCCCACAAAUAGCGGACCAUCUUGGGGGUUUGGGCCCCGUGUGUAAGGACUUGUUCCUCCUCACACAAACAUAGAGGGGAAAAAAAGAGAGAUGAUAUGAUCACACAAAAUAGUGACAAGUUUACACAAUUGACUAGGAGGAAUUUUUGGAAAUUAGCAACUUCAAAAACAAGUGACCAUAGAUUCAAGCUGAGGAAACAAGGUCUCUUCUUGCAAACAAAGUGCUUUGAGCUGGAAUAACUGAAGUGAAAAUCUGGUGGAUGUCAAAAACAUCAGUAGUUUCAAAGUGUCACACGACAAAAGACGGGACACCCCGAGUCCCAUUUUAUCCUGUAACUGUACUUAGGUAAUUACACAAACACACAGCACAUACAGUACACUGUUCUAGCACUCAAUUGUAUUUAUAGCACAACUAUAAAUGACACACACACACACACACAGUGUGUCAUUUAACUCACAGUUAAAUGACUAUUUUUAACUGGAACUUCCAGUUGGUUUUGCCGCAGGUUUGAACCCGGCUGGGCCUGGUCUGAGACACCAGGUCAUCUUCCCCAUGUUUGCCUCUGGCAGCAUUGGUUCAGUUGUCCUUUCACAUACAUUUUGAGGUGGCAAGUGCUUGGAUAACUUUUUAGCACAUAUCGAUCUGUUGCACAGCAGUCUGAUUUUUACCUACAUGGUUUAUCCUCUGAUUACAGUUUGGCUUAGAGUGCUGUGCCUUUUUUCUCCAAUGAAAUCCCCUUUGCUACUCUCAGGAUGGUUGCUCUCCAACAGCAUCUGUCAUCACUUAAACUCUUUUUGGGGUUUGGUUCUGUGGCACCUUCCCUCCACCCAUUCUCGACCUAGUUAGAUGCCUUGGAUCUUGGCUUGGGGGGUUUGUGACCAGCACUUGCCAUGUGGAGCCUGGUGGGGAGCCUAAGGCUUACAGUAAAGGUAUCUUAGUGGGUAUCUCAGGAAGCCAUUGAAGGGACCCACCAGAAAGAGGCCUUUCGUUACAUUAAACACUGGAUUUUGUUUAACCUUUCUGUGUCUUAUUACUUGUGCACUUCCAUUUUUAUUUUGAAUAUUUUCUAUUGCCACUAAAUUUGUAAAUAUUAUUUAACAAAUACAAGUGAGCAUUUUUAAAUAGUUUUGGGCACAAUUCUUUGAGGCAUUGUUUUUGGCAUGAGUGUUUACUAAUAAAUUAUAAAAAAUCUUGUAUAGGUUUUUAGCCAAGCUUAAAUGAAUUGAGAUAGGUAAUCUCACACACACACACACAAAGUGUAAUUGCUUAGUGUGUAUGUAAUUACCUAGCACCUAUUACCUAGUGUGUGUGUGUGUGUGUGUUUAGGAGACUACUUGGUUGUAAUAUUUGUUGAUUACAAUUUAAUUUUCCAUUUUGAAGUAAAAUUUCAGUUUUGUGGUUGAAGAUAAAAUGUGUGUGGUGGAUAUUUGUGCAAGUUUGCCACAAACCUAGAAUUACAAACCGUUUUGUCAUGGCAAACACUGGUAUAACAACAAUAAUAAAGUAUGAAUAUUCACCAAGAAUGAUACAGUAAUUGAACUGGGACGAGCAUUUGUGGAAGAUAGUAGACCACCUAUUCUAAAUGCUCUAUAAGCAGGGGGUAAGGAAGACUUUAAUCCUAAAUAUUGAAAAAUUCAGUGCCUAAUUACACUGCAAGUAGGUAGCAAACUUUGUUUACACAGGCUUGGCAAAGGUGAUAUUCUUAAACACAAAUUUUCCUACUCAGAAGGCAUUUAUUCUUCCAGAAACUCCACACCUCAGAAAAUUCACUUUGAGGAUAUAACUAGUAAACUUAAAAUAUUUGCAUUUGAUUUUCAUCAAUUGACAGACAUAUAUUUAAUCUGGAAUUUCUGAAGAUAAUACUCUGAGGUAAAUGCGUGUGUAGUUGGUUUACAUAGGUUUAAUUAUUGGGAGAUAACGACUUCGUUUCAUUGUGUAUACAAUUGGUGUUUAUGACACGAGCAUGAAGUUGUCCAUUGGAUGCUAUUAGUUUGUCACUGUACGAAUGUCAUAUUGCACAAAUUUUUUGUGUGUGUAUUACUGCAGGAAAAACAGCAUUGAAGAUAAACUUUCAAAUGCCUGCUCAUAACUCAUAUCUGGGUUUCAUCCCUUGAAUCCUCACAAAAAACUAUUAUAUAUUUUGCUACACGGGUGUAACUAACAUAUUUAUCAGCAAGCUGUUAAUUAUUAUUUCAUACAUAACAAUCAAAAUAUAAAUCCAUGAAAUUUUUAAAUAAUUUAUCUUUUGUUUCUUUUAAGCCAGUCUAAGUAAAUAGGGUCAAGAUACCCUAAAUUACUCUAAGAAACACGAUCAUAUUAUAAAACCCUCCUAACAGGCUGUAGUUGCAAUUAUUUAUAAAAGGUACAUUGAAUGUAAGAGAUUGUAUACAUGUACUGAAUUGACAGCUUGAUAUAAUCAUUUAAGUUUAACCACAAAAAACUUUUUAACAUUUACAAAGUGUCCAUGAGAAAAAAGUAUAAAUAAUAUUUUACAGUCUCCUGAUAAUGGCAUUAGUUAAACCACAACACUCAAAUAACACUUAGAUAUAUGGAGAUCUUUCCGUCCCGACCACGACGUUCUCGCUUAAGUUUGUAUUUAUGCGCUUUAAAUUAUAUUUUUGUUAUUUAUUUAUACUAUAGUUCCUAUUAUAGUUUUAAUUGAAAUACUCAUCAAAGUAUGUAUUUAAAUAAUUAUUAACCAUUUAUUGAAAUUUACAAAUGUCUUGAUGAAAUGUCCAAUUGAAUGGUCAAUUUUCAAAUAUCCUAGGUAGCACUGUACUCUUAAUUCAAGUUGACUGUGAAAUAAAAUUAUGUAUUGUUUGGAGCUUCAUUAGUGAGAUUUGUCUCACUAUUUAUACAUUUUAAGUGGAUAAUGGAACAUAUACACAGAAAUCACAAUAGCAUGAUGCAGCAAAUGAACAAAGGUGCGUCUGGGAAUCCUCUCGGACAUAGGUUCGAAUCCUUAUCACGGCACUUGUGGAUUUGUUCAAUGCAACAUUAUAUUUCUUGUAUGUGCUGUUGAAUUUUAUUGCUCAUUAUUAAGAUAUUUAUCAGAAGGUUUGAAAAAAAGGGGGAUAUAUUAUAAAUUACUUAAUGCUUUUGUUUUUAUACAAACUGAAAUUUUCUGUAAGCUCUCUAGAGCAAUAAUUAUAAAAAGUUAGGAAGAAAAACAUGUCAUUAUACUCAAAAAUAGAAGGUGUAAACUGAGAUUUUGUGAUUGUAUAAUUGUUACAAAGUGAGGAUUUACACUUGUAUGUUCCUCAGUAAUGUGUAUGUAAUGAUCUACAUAAAUAACAGCAAUAUCACUUACUAAUAUGCUGAAAUUUAUUGGUUUAUGCAUAUGUAAAUGGAAGAUAUCGAGUCACAUUACAUAGCAUAGACACCUGCUAGAUACACUACUGUAUAUCCAUAAUUUGAGAUUAAGCUGGACUACUUAAUGCACUCUUAUUACAUUUAAAUUAACAUAUUUUCAAAGCGAGGUAAGAUGUACUUGUAUAGAGUCCACUUAGUGUCUAGAACGUUCAGUUUUCCAAGACUGUAUGCGUGUCUCUUACAAAAAUCACAAAAAAAAAAACACUUUUCUGAUCAUCGAUAUAAGAGGUUAUAUUUAAUUUUUGUUCUUAUGUUUUACGGAGGAUGUAUGGUAUUAAUCUGUUGAAUGACAUGGAGUUAGACUCCCUGAGAGGUGCAUU